rnacentral:sRNA from 1 species
UUGCGUUAGGGAUUGCAGUGGAAAUCCUUUUUGUCCGCCUUUUCGGCGGGUAAAAAGAUUGUAACGGAAAGCCCGCCCUUGU